rnacentral:rRNA from 1 species
UACGUAGGGGGCAAGCGUUGUCCGGAUUUACUGGGCGUAAAGAGCGUGUAGGCGGCCACGCAGGUCCGUUGUGAAAACUGGAGGCUCAACCUUCAGACGGUCGACGGAACCGUGUGGCUAGAGUCCGGAAGAGGAGAGUGGAAUUCCUGGUGUAGCGGUGAAAUGCGCAGAUAUCAGGAAGAACACCAAUGGCGAAGGCAGCUCUCGUGGGACGGUACUGACGGCUGAGGUGACGAAAGCGUGGGGGAGCAA